rnacentral:piRNA from 1 species
UCUUCUGAAUUCCUGGUUUCACUUUGACUGC